UCAUACCCAGCUGCCACCGGGCGUUUCUGGUCCGUCUGUCGGUCCAGGAGGUCCACAGGGUGUGCAGCUCCUUCCGCUCGGGUCAUCGGCCGCAAUGGGCAUGCCCAUACCUCAAAUUCAUUACAUUCAGCAAGCCCCCGUAAUAGGUGGGCAGCCUUCCCAUAUGCAACAAUUGGUUCCUCAUAAUCAAUAAGUUGUCCACAUACAAAAAAUAACCAAACAGAUACAAAACACAAAAAAUUUCCAAACCAA